UAAUUAUAAGGCAAAUUAUUUUAAUAAUCUAAAAAAUAUUUAGAGCAUGGCCCCUGCGCAAGGAUGACAUGCAAAUUUGUGAUGUGUUCCAUAUUUUU
rnacentral:snRNA from 1 species